CAUUCCAGUGCUGGUGUAGAGAGACAUGAAAUAGCAGGAGCGAGCGUGCUUCGUUCAUCCGGAAGACAGCGAAACCUACGGACAGUAUGGGCACUGAGGAUCCAGGGGAGAACCCCAAGUCCCUGCUGGAGGAUGAAACACAAGAUGGCAGCACCCUGGGUCCCGGAAUCAAGACUUAGUGAACCACCUGUAUUGAACUGGAUGGGCCCUAAUCCAAGCUGACUGGUUGGAUAAGAAGAGGAAGUUUGGACACACAGGGAAAUACCAGGGGUGCAGGCUCACGUAAGAAAGACUAUGAAGGGUACAGCAAGAAGGCGGCCGUCGACAAGCCAAGGAGAGAGACCUCAGGAGGAAUCAAACCUGCUGAUACUUUGAUCGUGAACUUCCAGCCUUCAGGACUGUGAG